ensembl:lncRNA
CUCCUGAUUUAUUUUUUUGUAGAUCGCAUGUAUUUGAAUAAACAUUUACAUUUAACAUGAAUUAGCUCCAUACAUUAUUAAAGCAUGUAGUCUCCUGUUCCAUAUACAUUAAUACCAGAACACAAACAGACUCAGAUAAACAAACAAACUUAAAACACAUCGCACUCAAUAUUACAAUGGAAUGUUGAGUCCAGUUAAAUCAUCACUACAUCAUCAAGAGGAGACUGGAAGACUAAGGGGAGGAGGGGGGCGUAGCGAUUAGGGGGUAGGGGAGAGGACGGAUCUGAGGGGAGGAGGGGGGGCCGGAUCUGAGGGGGUAGGGAGUAGGGGAGAGGACGGAUCUGAGGGGAGGAGGGGGGCGUAGCGAUUAGGGGGUAGGGAGUAGGGGAGAGGACGGAUCCAGGAGGAGG